rnacentral:misc_RNA from 1 species
GAUGAAGAACGUAGCGAAAUGCGAUAAGUAAUGUGAAUUGCAGAGUUCAGUGAAUCAUCGAAUCUUUGAACGCACAUUGCGCCCGUCAGUAUUCUGACGGGCAUGCCUGUCCGAGCGUCAUUUCAACCCUCAAGCGCAGCUUGGUGUUGGUGGAUUGCGUGCCCUCGCGGCGCUGCAACCGCCCAAAUACAGUGGCGGUCCCGCUGCGGCUCCCUUUGCGUAGUAACUCACCUCGCACUGGACCGGGCGGCGGCCUGCCGUAAAACCCCAACUCACGAAAUGUUGACCUCGGAUCAGGUAGGAAUACCCGCUGAACUUAAGCAUAUCAAUAAGCGGAGGA